CUGACAACCUGACCGGAUCCCUCACAGUGGUCGCCACUGGGAACCUGCUGGACUUAGAGGAGACGGCUAAGGCCCCGCUGUCCACGGUCAGCGCCAACACCACCAACAUGGACGAGGUGCCACGGCCGCAAGCCUUGAGUGGCAGCAGUGUUGUCUGGCUGGAUGAUGGCCUGGAUGAAGCGUUUUCGAGGCUUGCCCAGUCUCGGACGAACCCUCAGGUCCUGGACACUGGCCUGACAGCCCGGGACAUGCAUUACGCCCAGUGCCUCUCGCCUGUCAACUGGGACAAGCCUGACAGCAGCGGCACAGAGCAAGAUGACCUCUUCAGCUUCUGAGGGCCCGGGGCCAGCCGGACACAAGCGGCCCUGACACGUGACGGACCAAAGCCACCUGCUGCGGGGGAGCCGGUUCCGGUACCCACCCGCCACCUCUCCCAGCCCUCAGCACUGUCAGCCUGAAGAUCAGAGCUGCAGCCAGUCAGGCAGGGGAGAGAUUUUUUUUUUAAGCCCUGCUCUUUCUCUGAGAACCAAAAGAUGCCUUGAAUAUUUAUUCAGUGACUUCUGGCUUAUGCUUGGAAGCCAGUCUGCAUCAGGCACGUCUCCUGCUGCAUGACAUGUGCAGUGCUGUAAUCGGCUCCCGCUUGCUCUCCUGGAGCAAGCUCUGCCCUGGCUGUGGGUAUCAGGACUGUGACCAAAGCAUUUCUAGUCCCUUCUCUCUUUCUAAGGACCCAAAUUUCCCUGGGGGCAUCCUGCUUCCUGACAGCUGUUGGAUUUCAGUGAUUUUUUCCCCUCACCCCCCAGCACAGGAGAGCACCCACAGCCUCAGAAGGGGAAUGUGUCCUCCUGCUCUGCUUCCUCAGGGCCCAGCAGGCGGGGUUUGAGCCCUGGACCCCAGGCUCUUAGAGACUAAGGGG
rnacentral:sRNA from 1 species